AGGAAUAAUAUUAGAACACAUCAGUUGAAAUAUAUUUGUAUAUAUAAACAGAGACAGACAGACAGGAUAGUAGUAAAAAGGGCAAUUUUUCCUCCAUGCUCAAGCUUUUUCAAACUGUAUUCAAUGUUGAUAUCCCUGAAAGUACUGUUUUACUAAAUAGUUGCCUGCUAGCUAGUGUAUUGUCUACCUCUUUGUGUUCAUUUGCAGGCAUAUAGCAAAGACUGAAGAAAAUUCUCACUCAGCUUCUGCUCAAGUGAAAAAAAAACACUUCAUGUUAGUGAGGGCUACAGUACACUUCAGGUUCUACAGCAGUUUACAGUAAACAGGUAGAGGGGUACCUUUGCCAGGUAGACUUUUCUGUGUGUUUCUGCCCCAAGAGGAUGGGGUGGACUGUUUGUAACUCCUGAGUACCUGACUUGCCAUGCUUUUCAUACAGCCAGUGUGGAAGCAACCACUCUGUGGCCUUGACUGUGGGUCUCAGUACUAUAUCCAGGAAAAUGGAAAUUUACGCAACAGUCUGUCAGACAUGUGCAGUAAGUCUGACAGACAAAACUAUUCUUAACAAUAACCAACUGCCAUUGAAGUAGCCCUGGGUCCUUGGUGCUGAAUAUUACCUUGGAAAUCAAAGCAAUUGUGGGAAUAAGAUCAAACAAAUCUCAGGAAUUCUGGCAAAGAAGGAACUGUCAGAGAUUCUGAGCCACGCUCUUCUUGGAGCAGACAGUCCUAAUUUUGUUUUCUCUGUUGUGGACAAACAGAUUUUUAGCUAUCAUCUCUUUUAGUGUACAAUUCAUGCUAAAUUCUCUAACUUAUGUUUAUUUUGUUCCCUGUCAAAAUGUCUGAGAAGCAGAUGUGCGAUCAGAAAGCCAGUGGAGAGCCAACAGGACCACUACUGAUAGAUGGCAGCACUCUGAAAACUUAUUUGUUUUCCAAAACAACAGGGUUAAUCUUUUUCCUCUUUAUUGAUAAGAGAAAUUCUCAAGUUCCAAGCUAUGAGGAAGAGACAGAAAAGUUAGUCAAUCAUGUCACAGUCCAAAAAGCGUACAGGGAACAGGGAGGGAUUUCUAUCUUGUCUUGCAUUCAAGUUUUGAUGGGCAACUGGAUUAUAACUAAAAUAUGAGUGUAGCUUAUUUUGCUUAUUUCCUUCUCAAAGAUUUCACCUAUUUUGAAAGGCAGGCACCUAUGGCCUGAACUUCAUAAAAGAUAUCAUGUGGACCUUCCUGACUGAAUUCUUUAGGCCAUGUUUUUACUGUCCUUAGUGAAAACAGUUCCUAAAAUGUUUUGAAAAUCAUUUGCUUUUAGAAUGAAUGCCAAGAUGACUGCUAAGCCUCAAAAAUAAGAGAACUAGGCCUUUAAGAGGUAGAGGCAUAUAACUACGGAGGAUAAUUAGUUUAUGAUGUUCUUACAGAUUUGAGUAGGUUAUAUCAGCUCUGUUUAGCAUUCUCAUGCAUUAUAGGGUAGAUGUCUGUUCAUGACUCUGGAGAGGAAAGCAACAGACACUGCUCGGUAGAGGAGGACAUCAGUACCACUUGCAAUAGAGAACCAGCUUAGACUUGAUGCAAGCUUCUACUGGUUUUAGGGACUAGAACCAUCAGCCUUUCAUAAUGAUACAGUUUUACUGAAUGCAGAGCUUCAGAUUUCUUAGUGCUGAAACUGAAGGAUUAAAGGAUUUUCUUAGGGAUCUGGAAUAGUCUGUUACUGAGAGAAUUCUGACUUUAACUGCUGUUAGAUAAAUUAGAGAGGUUCAGACACUGAUAUGUGUCACUAUUUAUAGGAAAUGAGGAAAGAUCCUGGUUACUCUCUUUCAGCUUACAAAAAAACAUGAGCUGUCCUGAUAGCCAUCACCUAAAAUAAGCUGGUCUGGCUACAUCAUAUAAAAUGUGCCAACAGUAAGACACACGUUGACUCAAUAUCAGAAUUUGAAAAAAAAAUGCUUAUAAAUAAUAAUUUGAUGGUUACUUUACAAAUUGUACUGCUUAAAAACACUGGAUAUAAAAAUGUAUAAGCUAUUAACAAUUAGUUUAGACAUACAACUCAAAUGUGAUUCACGUGAGUCACUCAGGGGACCAAACUGGGACACCAUAACUCAGGAAACAAAAUUUUCUGUCUAGAAAGAAAAAGCAAUUUCGAAGAAAGUGGGGCAACCACACUCUAUUUUAAAGUAUAUUUUAUGAAUUAAGGACUGAAUCUUUUAAAAAAUAGGUUUUAAAAUAAUCCUUGUCAGACAUUUUUAGAAUUUUAUAGUUUGACAAUAUUCCUCUGCAAAAACAUUGUACAACAUUAUACACAGUUAUUAAUAAAUGUAGAAGGUUCAGAAAGACCACCUAUGGUCUGAACAUCUUUUACGGAAUCCAGCAGGUAUUAUCAAGGAAGUAAUUGGUAUGAAAGUUCUAAGAGGAUUAUGGUACAGCUUUUCCAAACACCUUUAUGGGCUCCUGUUUAUUUCCCCUGAUUAAGGUAGGGCCACCUGAGGGCUUAUCAAGUUUCAGGAGCUGCAGACUUUGCUGAACAGGAUAAACCAGCCAGCUGUUCCUCCUAGCUUCCAAACAACAUGACUACUCGUCAUUUGGAUAGCUGAACGUUCAUCAGAAUCCCAAAUGAAAAUAUUCAAACACAGUUUUAAAAAACUGUAAUUGUUUUUCAGUUGCAUUUUACUGGAAGAACUUACUGAGUCAGGAAGUUCAUGUUUCUAAACUACUUAUGGCAGUUUGUUAGUAUAGCAAAUAAUUAGUUGUAGUAAAGACAGUAACAAUUUUCACACAAAGUAUUAAGUUAACAAAUUACGGUUUUCAUAGAAAUGACUGUUUUAACUCAAUUAGGAUGUAACACAUACAUUAACACAUAAGUUAGCAAAAUACUUGAAAAACCUGUCUUACUGGAACUUACUAUCCAUUUAGUCCUACGAUACAGACUUUUGCUUUUCAUUUAAUUUAUAAGAAACAUAUCACCUUAAGAGUAUCAAGAAAAGCAGUGCUAAAUUAAAAAUAAAUUUAUCCUUGAUCCAGAAUUUUUAAAGUACACGCAUAAUAUCAACUACUCUAGCUGCCAUCACUUGUGAAAAUUUAAGCUGCAGACAUUAAUAUAAAACUUAGGAGUUCCCAGACCCUGUAUUCUUCUGAGUAUAGCUCUGUUAUCAGUAGUAUAACUUUUUCAUACACCCACCCACUGCUUCCCUAUUGCUGCUCAAUACAGCUUUGUUGACAUUGUGCACAUGCAGUUAUUUUGGUAAAAAAUAAUCUUCAGCUGGCAAAGCUUAUUAUUUUCUGUGAAAUGGAUUCAGCUGUACUAUCAAAAGAAAUCCUUGGCAAUUAUAAGCUGCACCUCCACAAGAGAGGUUAAAAUACCAUUCUAUUCUGGCAAACACAUGUAAGUAUGGCCAAGACCUUAGUUUAAACAGCUAGUUAAACAUUUACAGAAGUAGAGACAUCUUUGAGCUAUAAUAUGUAUGUGACCUCCUUGUACUUAAUGCUUAUUCAUGCGACUUUCUCAUUAAUGCAUGAAACAGUUUCUAUUCACAUAUGCUGAAACAAGUCUAUGUUGACACAAAGACAGCUGCAGUAUUUAUUUCUGACUCAAAAAAAAAAAAUGUAAAAGGCACACCAUGAUCAAAUUUAAUACAUGAAAGAAACUGCAUUGUUUCUUCCCAAAUUAUUUAAUAAUAUAAAGUAAUAUGAAGCACCUAAUCAGCAGUAUGUACCUCACAUAGCUUAUCAGGGUAGCAGUAAUAGCUGUGUUGGUAGCUGAUAAAAACAAACAAAAAUAAUUAUGAAUACAAUGAUUUACAAAAAAAUCCACAGCAGAAUGAAACAUGACAUGAAUAAUCUAAAAUUUGACAUAGCACAUUUUAGGCCCAUUCAGUUCAAAAGAACAGCUACCACAGAAAAAAUACAUUAGGUAAAAUAUAUUAACAAGCAGAGGUACAGCAUUUUUCAGAGAAUUUUGUCCUUAAAUUCAACAGGAUUUAUUUUUUGUAACCUGCAGCUAAGUCAAAAUAAUCUUUUCGAAAUAAUGCGAAUUUGGUGGACAGAAAGUUCAAAGUUGGAAACAACCAGUAACACUGUUGAAAACAGGCUCCAUGUUUUCAUGGAUAUACAUACAGAUAUUAAAUUUACAUCUGUAAGUAAGAAACUUGUAAGAAGAUUCUUCUGUAUUAAUAUCUAGCAAAAUUCUACAGAGAAUUCUGAGCGAAGCUAUAAUUCUAACAUAGCAGUUCAGUGAAUUCAGAAAUAUAAACUGGCUUGACAAUAAUUGAAGCCAACGAGAACAGAAAUAGCAGAUUGGACAAUGGAAUGCUGAAUGGCUGUGACAAAACCUGUUUUAAUACAGAGAUUACCACAGAAAUUGCCUCUCCAGUAAUGUCUUCCAAUUCUAUUUUGACAUACAAAUACAUACUCAGUUUUCAGGGAGUAUUCUUUCAAAUGAGAGAAAAAGGUGGGGAAAAUGCAGCUGCUUGGUACAGAUGGAAAUCAGAAUUCUCUAAGGAGGAUUCUGUGAUUGACAGAUAGAUACAGAGGUAGACAGAAAGGUAGACAGACACAUUCUC